UUUGAAGUUUGAAGGGAUAUAUUUUUCAUUCAAAUUAUUAAAGUGUAUACAGACUAUAUACUAUACUAUAUCUUAAAUAUUAUAACACCUCAUAUCCAUACUAAGACUCUUAUGCUUGACGCAUCAAACAUAAAUAUAUAGUUUGGUAUUCCUUUGCUAGCAAAGGAAGUUUGAAACCAAUUUCAAAAUACAGAGACAGAAAAAAUGAAAGACAGACACAGACCCAUACUGAACCCUAUCAGCUACUGAAACCCACGUUCUCCGUCGGCCAUACGGUACCAUAGCCGCCGGCGGACUAGCCUAACCUCACCUAUUCAAAAUAAAACUUCAACAACCACCGCAGCCACCACCACAACCUCCUCCGCCACAACCUCCUCCACCGCCGCCACCACCACAACCUCCACCACCACCGCCAUGACCUCCACCGUAAGCAGAAGCUGUCAUAAUAACUAAGCCACCGUAUUUGGUUCCGCGGCUACCGCUUGUAUGAGAUUUAGGUUUUGGAGCAGUAGUGGAAUUAGUUGUAGUUGCAGUUUUUGUUGUACGUGCAUCUCUCUUAUUAUCUACUUUCUCUUGAGCAUUCUUCUUUCCACCACCACCGAAACAAAAACAACCCAUAUAGUUCGUUGCAGAUUCUAACUAAUGACUAAACUACUUCGACUGCUUAGUGCUUAUUGCAAUGCUUGUAUUGGUUAGUUUAGUAUGAAAGACAAGUUUAAGUUUCUGUUUCUAUUAAUAACAGCUUUUAGAACAUGCGAGGAUGUUUCCUCCUCUUUCUCCUUCACUAACACGUCUUCUUAAUCAGGUAAGCAAAAAUCUGCUAAACUACUAAAGCUCAAUGAUAAAAUUGUGAAAUAAUAAGAAAAGAAGAGAGCGAGGAA
rnacentral:lncRNA from 1 species